rnacentral:sRNA from 1 species
GCACAUCUUUUGUGGUGGCGCGUACGCUUUAUAAUUUGAUCCAACUUGGACCACGACAGUCAGUACCAUUUCCAGUCACUUCGCGACAAGUUGAUCGGCUGAGAUAGCUCCGGAUGUGUCAAUUGCUGUAAUCGUCCAUUAAGUUACCGCAUUCAAAAAAUAUCGCUCUAAAUAAUUGAUUGGCAACAGCAGAACAAUGGGACCUUUUGAAAUACUAUGUGGUAUUGCAGUUAUAUUUCUCGCGGCUUAUUAUUAUUUUACAUCAAACUACGAUUUUUGGAAGUCACGUGGCAUUCGCGGUCCAAAACCGAUACCAGUUUUUGGUAAUUUUAAAGACGUUAUGCUUACUAAAAGGUUCGCAGGAGAUUAUUUAAUGGAAAUAUACAAUGAGUAUAAAAAUGAAUCCAUGAUUGGAAUAUUCACAAGCAAAACACCUAUUUUGAUUGUAAAAGAUCCAGAUUUAAUUAAGGAUAUUCUUAUCAAAGAUUUUUCUAAGUUCGCCGAUAGAGGAUUUCCUAUCAGUGAAAAAGCUGAUCCACUGUCGCAACAUCUUUUCGCGUUAGAGUCUAAAAGAUGGCGACCUUUGAGGAUAAAGUUGUCCCCCGUUUUUACAUCUGGUAAGCUAAAAGAAAUGUUCUCUUUAAUAUCGGAAUGCGCCGAUCAUCUUGAACAAUAUAUUGAGAAAUUGGUGAGCAAAAACGAGCCUAUAGAAUGCCGCGAGGUAACGGCAAAAUAUACGACCGAUGUAAUCGGUACUUGUGUAUUCGGCAUCGAAAUGAAUGCUCUAUCAGACGAAGACAGUGAAUUUCGUAGGAUGGGAAGAAUGGUCUUCACGCCAACCUGGCAAAAUAUUUUACGGUUGAGAAUAAGUCAAUUCUUUCCAUGGCUCUACGAAAUGCUCGGUUAUAUCCUACCACAAUCGGAGGUCAAUCAAUUUUUCACACGUGUUGUCAUAGAAACUAUGAAUUAUAGAGAAACAAAUAAUGUCAUUAGGCAUGAUUUCAUUGAUAUGCUGCGCGAGUUAAAAAAGAAUCCAGAUAAAGUAGGUGAUAUCAAGAUGACCAAAAGCUUGAUAGCUGCUCAAGCGUUCGUAUUUUUCCUUGCCGGUUUUGAAACUUCAUCGACGACUAUGAGUCAUGCUCUUUACGAAUUGGCAUUAAAUCAACAAAUACAAGAUAAACUACGUGAGGAAAUUGAUCAAAAGUACACCAAACAUGGUAGCAAUUUAACAUAUGAAAAUGUAAAAGAGAUGAAUUACUUAGAUAAAGUUUUCAAAGAAACUUUACGAAAAUAUCCACCAGUGACAUUUCUUAUGCGACAAUCGACAUCAAGUUAUACUUUCAAUGGUACUACACUUGACAUAACAAAAAAUCAAAAAGUAUGGAUUCCGAUUUUCGCGAUUCAUCGAGAUCCGGAUAUUUAUCCGAAGCCAGAUACUUUUGAUCCAGAAAGAUUUAAUGACGAUGCAAUACAAACCAGGCAUCCGAUGCACUAUCUACCUUUUGGUGAUGGUCCAAGAAAUUGUAUUGGUGCUCGCUUUGCUGUUUAUCAGACAAAGAUUGGUCUUAUAAAGAUACUACGAAACUAUAAAGUUGAAGUUUGCGAUAAAACGCAAAUACCCUACAUAAUUGAUCCUAAAGCACUUAUAUUAGCAUCAAAGGGUGGAAUACACUUAAGAAUAAUUAAAAUUAAUCGAACUUAAUUUAAGUUUUAUUAC